rnacentral:rRNA from 1 species
AGAUUGAACGCUGGCGGCAGGCCUAACACAUGCAAGUCGAGCGGUAGAGAGGUGCUUGCAUCUCUUGAGAGCGGCGGACGGGUGAGUAAUGCCUAGGAAUCUGCCUAGUGGUGGGGGAUAACGUUCGGAAACGGACGCUAAUACCGCAUACGUCCUACGGGAGAAAGCGGGGGACCUUCGGGCCUCGCGCCAUUAGAUGAGCCUAGGUCGGAUUAGCUAGUUGGUGAGGUAAUGGCUCACCAAGGCGACGUAUCCGUAACUGGUCUGAGAGGAUGAUCAGUCACACUGGAACUGAGACACGGUCCAGACCUCCGUACGGGAGCCAGCGAGGUGGGGAAUAUUGGGAACAAGUGGGGACGAAAGCCCUAGACUCCAGCCCAGUCGCCGUCGUGGUCGUAGGAAA